rnacentral:rRNA from 1 species
CCUACGGGUGGCUGCAGUCGAGAAUCAUUCACAAUGGGGGAAACCCUGAUGGUGCGACGCCGCGUGGGGGAAUGAAGGUCUUCGGAUUGUAAACCCCUGUCAUGUGGGAGCAAAUUAAAAAGAUAGUACCACAAGAGGAAGAGACGGCUAACUCUGUGCCAGCAGCCGCGGUAAUACAGAGGUCUCAAGCGUUGUUCGGAAUCACUGGGCGUAAGGCGUGCGGAGGCUGUUUCGUAAGUCGUGUGUGAAAGGCGCGGGCUCAACCCGCGGACGGCACAUGAUACUGCGAGACUAGAGUAAUGGAGGGGGAAACGGAAUUCUCGGUGUAGCAGUGAAAUGCGUAGAUAUCGAGAGGAACACUCGUGGCGAAGGCGGGUUCCUGGACAUUAACUGACGCUGAGGCACGAAGGCCAGGGGAGCGAAAGGGAUUAGAUACCCGAGUAGUC